AAAUGACGUUUUGUUUGACAAGAACAGAAUCAAAAGGUUAUGUUUCGAUUUGAACUAUUUAAUUUUAUUUAACAUUUAUGAGAGCAAUAAAAGUACUUAUUAGAAUUCGAUAGAAAACCAAUACGAUUGCUAUGAAUAGGGUGAACAAUGUAAAAUAGUAAAACUAUACUCUCAGCAUGCCAACAUUUCUGACGCCUGGUCGUCAUGGAUAUAGCGUCAGGUUCUCUCGGACUCGGCCUGAUGCACUGGCAGUUGCCACCAGCCAGUAUUACGGAUUGGCAGGCGGAGGAACCUUGUUCUUCUUAGAGCUUGCUCCUGAUGGCGGGACCUUGAUCGAAGUUCAGAAAUUAGAGUGGAGCGAUGGACUUUUCGAUGUGACUUGGUCAGGCAGCUCAGACAAUACGGCUGCCUGUGGGGCCGGUGAUGGCACAGUGAUUGUUUGGAGGGUCGGUUGUGCAGCUCCUUUGAGAGUUCUCCGGGCGCAUACCAGUGAAGUGUGUUCCGUUGAUUGGCCCAGAGGCCAUUUGCUGAGCGCCAGUUGGGAUACAACCGUCAAACUUUGGGACCCCGAGUCAGAAACGUGUCUCAGCACGUUCACGGGUCAUUCGCAGCUGGUGUACACGGCGGUGUUCUCUCCCCAUUCGCCGGCCACUUUCGCCUCGGUCUCCGGGGACGGACACCUCAAACUAUGGGCCUGCAGCGAGUCCGUGAGGCCUGCUGCUGUCGUUAAGGCUCACGAUGCCGAGGUGCUGUCGUGCGAUUGGAGCAGUACCGAGACGCACGCGCUCGCGACCGCCGGCUCCGACGGGCUCGUCCGUGGCUGGGACCUCAGGAGACUGACCUCGCCGAUGUUCACAUUAAAAGGGUGCGAGUGUGCUGUGCGGCGGGUGCAGUUCUCGCCGCACUCGCCCUCCGUGUUGGCCGCCGUCUCGUACGACUUUACCACGAGAAUCUGGGACCUGAAGCGCGGCUGCGACCCCUUGGAGACGAUCCGGCACCACUCGGAGUUCACGUACGGGCUGGCGUGGAGCCCGCUGCGCCCGCACCAGCUCGCCGACUGCGGCUGGGACUCGCUCGUGCACGUGUUCACGCCGCGCUCGCUCGCGUGAGGGUCGGUGCUCCCCUACAUACAACACGUGCAGUCGCGGCCUACAGGAUAAGACGUCCGGUGCAUGCAUUCGUAUUGUUACGCGCUGGAGUUCGGGAUAAAUAAAAUUCCACCAAAGCAACACCAAGCUUCUGGUGCGAAAACAAAAAUGGCUGUGGAAACGAAGUAUUAGUGUGCCAAAAUGAACCGUAUGUGUGAAGAAACUUGACGUAUCAGGGUCGAAAGUCGCUUGGCGAGCGAGCGGUGCGCGUUUUAUAAAAGCUUUAAUAUCUAUAGACGUCACUCUGUUCUCGAAUACACUGGUAUUGUACCUACGCGACUAGGCGUCCCCCACGCGUCCCCCAUGCGUCCCCCUAGCGUCCCCCAGACGUCCCCCCAUCCACGGACAAGGGGUGGACCUCUAAGGAGUCCAAAUGUCGUUUAUAGAUAUUAAACUUUGCUACCGAUGUGCGAACAGGGAACUUGCUGACUGAAUGUAUAGAUUGUAUUAAGGAUUAUUGUUUGCCUUUCGAGACAAAUGAGUUUAUGGCCCGUCUGAGCGUGGAUCAUGAACAUUGUCAAUGCCAUCGGCGUAGUCAAGACGCUGUCUGCAGCUGAGAAAUUUUCAAACCAAGCUCAAUACCGCUCAGGGGAAAUCCUGGAAUGAGUCCUUCGAGAACUCUGCGACGAUAACAGGCGAUGAGGUGGCAGCAACAGAAGACGGCCCCUUGCCUAUUGUUGAUGUCCAUGAGCUCUCAAUCACAGGGACGGUAAGCUCGUUGGCCAUUGAAGGUAAAAAAAAGGAAAAAUUGACAAGAUCAGCUCAUUUUUUUCAGCCUCUUUUGAAAACAAAUUAUUAUUAUUAUCAGUUAUCGAAGUGUAUGCUUUAGUUUUUAAUUGAAAGAAAAUUUCUUCUAAAAUAGUGUUAAUUAAUUUUAAUUUUUACGAUAGAUUUUAAAAUGUUCCAUUUAUAGUUCUAUAUUGAAUGUGUACAUAUGUAAAAUGCUUCAUAACGUUAUUGAUGCGACGUGUAUCAUUUAUAUUUAAAAACAUAUAUUCAUAUUCGCAAAUAGUUUUUGUGUAUGGAAAAAAAUCCUUUAUUAUUUUCGUAAAUUGUAAACAAUCUAAAUGUAUAUUUGAAGUCAGUUGUAACUUAAGACAGAAGCGGAGUUCUGUGAAUUGAAACUGCCCAAAUGUGAGGAAAUACAACAAAGCCGCUGGAUUUGACAUCUAGGUUUCUUCCAAAACGUCCACAGACAAAAUAACCACAAUUUUACUGAUACUUUAUCUCGUUCCAUCCCAUGUCGAUUGAUUUAAUUUCAUUCUGAUUGAUUAAGUUCUCAUAUUAAACAUCUUCAUCUCAUUUUGCUUCAUGUCAAUUUUAUAUAUGAGACCGUCCGUGCAAAAUCGGCCUAACCCACAAUUUUUCAUAUUCGCGCUUAUAUAUUGCAAUUAAUUUAAAACAUAAUAAAUGUCGAUGCGUAUUGUUUUUGCCUACGAAGCAGUCUAAAAGUAAAUUCCAACCUCAUUAUCUCUAUACUAUGAUAAGCUUAGGGCACUUUUGCGCUGACUGCCUCAUAUGAGAAUAUAAGAAGAAAUAAAACUUGGCGUAAAGGUCACGUUACCAGGGCAUAAAAAAAAACAAUAGUAGAUUAAAUUCUAAAUUAAAAAAGUUCUCGAUUAUCUUUGAUGAAAGCCUUUGAUUACUACAAAAUUAAUUUAUUGAAUGUAAAAAAAUACUUCUACACACAAAAACGUCGGCUUGCGCAUAGAAAUGUCGAAUUAACUGUAAAUAUUUCAUCUCAUAUUUGUAGUUUUCAAUGCAAGUCUUAUUUUACUAAGACGAAUCGUGUAUAUUAUGAGUAAAAAUAACUAUUUUCAAUUGAAUGUUGAUAUAUUAUUAAUAAAAGGAAUUAUUUGUAAUUUAAUUACAAUAUGCAUUUAUUUUACUGCGGUAUUGUCAAAUCUAAGGUGCCUAGUUUCACAAGAUAAAUAUGAAUUGAAUCUUUAUCGACUUUACCGCACAAACAUGGAUUACUUGUUUUUUAAAUCAAAAUAUAAAAUAUAUACAUUACAUUACAUAUACAUUAAUAUGCAUUAUAUUUGUUUGUAAGCACAUUUUACGAUUAUUACAACAAAAAAAUCAAUUACGAAACGUC